rnacentral:tRNA from 1 species
GCGCCUGUAGCUCAACCGGAAGAGCCGCCGCCUUCUAAGCGGCGGGUUGCAGGUUCGAUCCCUGCCAGGCGUA